GUAUAGCUAGCUCAGUUGGGUAAAGCAUGGCGCUGAUAACACGAAGGUUGCAGGUUUGAUCCCCGUAUGGGACA
rnacentral:tRNA from 1 species